CCUACGGGUGGCAGCAGUGAGGAAUAUUGGUCAAUGGACGAGAGUCUGAACCAGCCAAGUAGCGUGAAGGAUGACUGCCCUAUGGGUUGUAAACUUCUUUUAUAUGGGAAUAAAACGUUCCACGUGUGGGAUUUUGUAUGUACCAUAUGAAUAAGGAUCGGCUAACUCCGUGCCAGCAGCCGCGGUAAUACGGAGGAUCCGAGCGUUAUCCGGAUUUAUUGGGUUUAAAGGGAGCGUAGGUGGAUUGUUAAGUCAGUUGUGAAAGUUUGCGGCUCAACCGUAAAAUUGCAGUUGAAACUGGCAGUCUUGAGUACAGUAGAGGGGGGCGGAGUUCGUGGUGUAGCGGUGAAAUGCUUAGAUAUCACGAAGAACUCCGAUUGCGAAGGCAGUUCACUGGACUGCAACUGACACUGAGGCUCGAAAGUGUGGGUAUCAAACAGGAUUAGAUACCCCAGUAGUC
rnacentral:rRNA from 1 species